UCCUAGUUGACCUAGGCAGUCUCGCGUGAAAAAUACAACACACGACAAGGGUUGCGCUCGUUGCGGGACUUAACCCAACAUCUCACGACACGAGCUGACGACGACCAUGCAGCACCUGUCACCAGGCUCCUUACGGCACUCUCCCCUUUCGGGGAGAUUCCUGGGAUGUCAAACCUUGGUAAGGUUCUCCGCUUAUCGUCGAAUUAAACCACACGCUCCACCGCUUGUGCGGGUCCCCGUCUAUUCCUUUGAGUUUUAGCCUUGCGGCCGUACUCCCCAGGCGGGGUGCUUAACGCGUUAGCUUCGAUACCCAGGGGGUCUAUUCCCCAGAUACCUAGCACCCAUCGUUUACGGCGUGGACUAC
rnacentral:misc_RNA from 1 species